CUGUCCUUUCCAUCACAGCUGAGGAUGUGGCACAAGGAACGUCCAUGUCUACACAUCUUGAAUAAAAAUGCAGAUGCUUGCGAUUGUUUGACAAAAAAUAAAAAGGGGGUGACUGAGGGAGGUACCUGAUUCUGAAGCUGUGUCCGAGAGUGGAAUGCAGUAGCUCUUUGGGCAUGGGACAUUGUGGUUGACAACUGUGCCAUUUGCAGAAACCAUAUUAUGGAUCUAUGUUAAAGGGAACUCGUACCAUGGUUGCCCUGGCUCAAGGAGAAGACAUUUUGAAGAGCUCUGUCAUCAAAUUUAGCAGUGGGCUGUUGCUGCAGGAGGCGUGUGCUUGACUUCUGAUACCUGCCACUGUGACUACCUACAUGUAAAUCUCGGGGUACUUGGGUUACAAACCUUCAGGAGGU
rnacentral:lncRNA from 1 species